UAGGGAAUCUUCGGCAAUGGGGGGAACCCUGACCGAGCAACGCCGCGUGAGUGAAGAAGGUUUUCGGAUCGUAAAGCUCUGUUGUUAAGGAAGAACGAGUGUGAGAAUGGAAAGUUCAUACUGUGACGGUACUUAACCAGAAAGGGACGGCUAACUACGUGCCAGCAGCCGCGGUAAUACGUAGGUCCCGAGCGUUGUCCGGAUUUCUUGGGCGUAAAGCGAGCGCAGGCGGUUAGAUAAGUCUGAAGUUAAAGGCAGUGGCUCAACCAUUGUAGGCUUUGGAAACUGUUUAACUUGAGUGCAGAAGGGGAGAGUGGAAUUCCAUGUGUAGCGGUGAAAUGCGUAGAUAUAUGGAGGAACACCGGUGGCGAAAGCGGCUCUCUGGUCUGUAACUGACGCUGAGGCUCGAAAGCGUGGGGAGCGAACAGG
rnacentral:rRNA from 1 species